rnacentral:rRNA from 1 species
GUAGUAACACGUGGGUGAUCUGCCCUGCACUUCGGGAUAAGCCUGGGAAACUGGGUCUAAUACCGGAUAGGACCACAUUUUGGAUGGUGUGGUGGAAAGUUUUUCGGUGUGGGAUGAGCUCGCGGCCUAUCAGCUUGUUGGUGGGGUAAUGGCCUACCAAGGCGUCGACGGGUAGCCGGCCUGAGAGGGUGUACGGCCACAUUGGGACUGAGAUACGGCCCAG